rnacentral:tRNA from 1 species
GGUAGAUUGACAGAGAGGCUUAUUGUGGCACCCUGCUAAGGUGUUUGGUCCGAAAGGGCCACGAGGGUUCGAAUCCCUCAUCUACCUC